rnacentral:rRNA from 1 species
UACCGGCAGCCCGAGUGGUGAUCACUAGUAUUGGGUCUAAAGGGUCCGUAGCCGGUUUGACCAGUCUUCUGGGAAAUCUAAUUGCUUAACAAUUAGGCUUCCAGAAGAUACUAUCAGACUUGGGACCGGGCGAGGUAAGAGGUACUACAGGGGUAGGAGUGAAAUCUUGUAAUCCCUGUGAGACCACCAGUGGCGAAGGCGUCUUACCAGAACGGGUCCGACGGUAAGGGACGAAAGCUGGGGGCACGAACCGGAUUAGAUACCCGCGUAGUCC